UGCUGACCUCUCAUCUGUAGAUAAUGGAGGUAAUACAGGUACGUUUAUGAAGCCCACGGGUUUGACUUUGGUGACACACCCCUCUGUACAAGAAGGACUCCAUUUGACAACCUCUCCUUGUUCCCAAUCUAUCUGUGGGCUAUGUUUAAAUAACCAAGGAUAACCCAGGAGUACAGGAAACAAAGGAGGAGAAAUUGUUUGUAAUACAACAAUUUUCUUAUGUAGAGCCCCAGCCAUCAUAAGAAUUGGAAUAGAUUCCUUAGUAAUGGUGGGUUCUUCAAGUGGUCUACCAUCUAUG